CAAUAGCGUAUAUUAAAGUUGUUGCAGUUAAAAAGCUCGUAGUUGGAUUUCUGGUGGGAGCGAUCGGUCUGGCGCUUAGCGCGAGUACUUGCAUCGUCUCCGGCCAUCCUUGGGGAGGGUCUGUCUGGCAUUAAGUUGUCGGGCAGAGGAUCCUCAUCGUUUACUGUGAAAAAAUUAGAGUGUUCAAAGCAGGCUUAUGCCGUUGAAUAUAUUAGCAUGGAAUAAUAAGAUAGGACUUUGGUACUAUUUUGUUGGUUUGCGCACCAAAGUAAUGAUUAAUAGGGACAGUUGGGGGUAUUCGUAUUCCGUUGUCAGAGGUGAAAUUCUUGGAUUUACGGAAGACGAACUACUGCGAAAGCAUUUACCAAGGAUGUUUNCAUUA
rnacentral:rRNA from 1 species